AAUGAACGCUGGCGGCAUGCCUUACACAUGCAAGUCGAACGGCAGCAUGACCUAGCUUGCUAGGUUGAUGGCGAGUGGCGAACGGGUGAGUAAUGCAUCGGAACGUGCCUUUUAGUGGGGGAUAACGUAGCGAAAGUUACGCUAAUAACGCAUAUUCUCUGAGGAGGAAAGCAGGGGACCUUCGGGCCUUGCGCUAGAAGAGCGGCCGAUGUCGGAUUAGCUAGUUGGUGAGGUAAGGGCUCACCAAGGCAACGAUCCGUAGCGGGUCUGAGAGGAUGAUCCGCCACACUGGGACUGAGACACGGCCCAGACUCCUACGGGAGGCAGCAGUGGGGAAUUUUGGACAAUGGGCGCAAGCCUGAUCCAGCCAUGCCGCGUGAGUGAAGAAGGCCUUCGGGUUGUAAAGCUCUUUCGGCUGGGAAGAAAUCGCACCCUCUAAUACAGGGUGUGGAUGACGGUACCAGCAGAAGAAGCACCGGCUAACUACGUG
rnacentral:rRNA from 1 species